rnacentral:lncRNA from 1 species
AUCGAGCUUCAUUCACAACUAAACUUCACCAUUUAGGUGUCAAAAUUAAAUUAAGAGGAUGGAGAUUUGAUUAAUACCCUUUUAGCUCAGAACUGUGGCUGGAAAACACCUGUAAAAGCUUCGAAUCAACGAAAAAAUCUGGGAAGUUUUCCCCUGGUUGCUUUUGCACAGGGAAUGGCUAUAGAGAGAGAGAAAGACAUAUUUCAUGUUCUCGGGGCUUGGAUUUCACGAUGUAAGGUCAUACGGUGGUGCAGUCAUGCUUACUGGAGCAACAACGUGUGAUGGUGGUGGUGGCAUAUGGUUCCUAGAAAAGGAGAGUGAGUGAGAGAAGGAAAGUGACAGAGAGAGACGAAGGAAAGAGAGCUCCGAGGGAGUGAGAAAGUGAAUAGAGAGGUUCGAGAGUUAUUCAUGGGAGGGAGAAAAUAGAAAGGAAAUGGGAAGUGGGCAGGGGAAUAAAAUCAAAAAGGGGCCCCACAUGGCACACCAUUUAAGGCCCAAAUAGUAACCCAAAUAAAAAAUAUCUGGCCCAAACAAGGAACAAUUACCAAAAUGCCCUUUCACACUAAAAUCUGUAAAACAUUAUCGGGACGGGUUGUUACAUUUACCAAAUUGCCAAAUGAAUGAACCAUGAAUUUGCCACAAACUCUGACUCCAAACGGUGACCUCCAUCCAAAACCAAAGGAGAGUAAACUCUCUAAACUAAUGGUGUUGGCACAUAAAGAAAUUAACCCUAAGGUCCUGUUUACAGUGCAUAGGACUGAGGUUACAAUAAGAGAAUCCAAAUCCUAAUUGGAAGUAAAUCCAAAUCCUAAUCAAAUAGGUAAUUAACAAAAUCUCUCCACCAAGAAAUGAAUCCAAUCAUGAAGUCAAAUCCAAGCCCAAAUAAGACACUAAAAGAAAUCGGUAACACAAACCUAGCUUCUGCAUCAUCCUCAUUUUAAGCCGCAAAACCCACCAUCCUAAACGAUUGUGCCAAAGCAAGUAAAUUGCUCGAAUCAUCCGGCCAAGGGGGGCAUUGGCUCCUAAAUACGCUUCAGACUAUAUUCAUAGGAGUUGGUGCAAAGAUAUUUUACUCUAUUUUCUUCAGUGGUUUCAGUCAUGAUCAUUAUUCUCUCAAAUAUCUUUUAAAUCAACGACGUUCUUCCAAAACAUGGAAAAUAUAACACCUGUUUAAUGGUAAUUCAAUACCAUUCAUACAUUAAGGAGCGGUGCCAAGGUCCUUAAUCAGGUUGGAUACACCUAAAUUCAUCGUUAUUUAGGUAUGAAGUUAGUGUGUGUAGUAGCACAUUCAUCCAAACAACUAACUUCACCAUAUUUACACCUAAUCAUGUGUUUAAUAGAAUUCGGUCACAUGCAUACAAGAAAUAUGAUUAAAUUAACUCAUAUUUAAGAACAAUAUCCAUAACGUUAUCCAAAACUAAAACAAGCACCAAAAUUGAAUCUGGGAGCAUAAGAAAUCGUUCACUAAGUAAACCAAAAUUAACUAGGGGUUUGGCCAACAUGGCCUUUCCAAGUCAGACUUUUGCUCUUCCAAAUGUGUUUAGGUGGAGCAAAAUUGUUUUAUAGAUUGACUACAAGAAUGGUACUUCUCAACAACAUUGGUAGGGCACAGACAAGUGCAUAACCAAUGAUUUCUUCCUUCAAAACAAAACUAAAUUCUGCAAGUUGCAGGGGUAGUGUAUUAUCCAACAAUGCCUUCUUGUUGUAAAAACAAUGCAAAUGGAUCCUUUUGUUGUCCAAUUUCAAUGUAUUUACUAAAAUAUUAUCUUCCACGAUUUGAUCUCACAAUCUUAAUUUGUUUAUUCAAUUGUGUUUCAAUUCCAAGUUUAAAAGUUUAAAACAAUUAAGUAAAUGAUGUUUUAUUGAACUUAAAUAUAGAUGUGUAUACCGUAAAAAAAUCUUAUAUAUAAAGUCAGAAUGGCUUUUGAAUAGUGAUUUUUGGGUUCACAAGCUUCACCAAAAAAUAAGUGGACAGAAAUGCCCCUCAAACAAAAAACUUCAAAAGUAGUCCAAAAUAAUGCAUCAAAUGUGGCAAGGAUAUUUUCGUUAUUUUGAUAGUGUUUUUUUAAUAAUUAAUUUUUUUGUACAAUUUUUAUUUUUUUUAUUUUUUUAUAAUUAGCACCUCACAAUAGGCUAGCAAUAAUAUGAUUCAAUUAGUUGUUUAUUAAAUAUUAUUUUCUUUAUUUUUGAACACGUUCAAAACAUCUUAAGCGGCGUGUAAUGCCAGUUAUAAAAAUGGUCUUUCGCACUCGCAUAAUAAUGUGAUUAAAUUAGUUGUGAAAUGAUUUUUUGUUUUUUUUUAACAAACGAUAUUAUCUACAAUAAGGAGGAGGGGGUGAGCUUAGCCUAUGUGAUUUAAUCAAUCGUUUAUUAAAUAUUAUUUUUUCUAUUCUUAAUGUAAAUUUAAUAGAGGCUGAUAUUAUUAUGUGAAUUCAGCUGCUUUGAUUGGUUUUGAGGGGUUUCUUCUAGCAUGAUAUAAGAUUAUUCAUUUACUUCAAAUAGUUAACUUUCCUUUUGUCAAUUUAUGCAUAUAAGUACAUUUAAAACGUGUAAGUCGCGUGUGCAUGAAGAAAGUAAGAAUACCACAUAUUGUUUUUUGCUGAAAAUAGACUACACACGUGUAAAUGAUUUUUAAUCUUGCUGCCUAACAUAUACCAAAACCAAUGGUUUGGUUUAGGGGUGGGCA